CAACAUAUCUGAAGGAAAAAGUGAACACAGUCCAGAGAAGGGUAAAGUGAGUCUCUCUACACCACCCAGAGAAGAGAUUAAAAUACUACUAUUUGCAUCCUGCCUGGAGUCACAGUU